rnacentral:snRNA from 1 species
UUGUACCGUUUACUAGGAAUUUAUUAUUGUAACGAUUCAGAGAAGAUUAGCACAGUCUCUGCGCAAGGAUGACCAUCCAUUAGCUCAGUGGCAACUGUCUUUC